GCUAUAAUUAUAUUAUGGAAUUACAUUAAUCUAGUAUAUAAAAGACUGAUAACUACUGGAAUAAAACACUAUUGGUCAUUUAGAUCCUAUUAUAUGUACAAAACUGGAAUACCAUGACAUUAACUUAAUUGAAAGAACAAACAAAUCAUUUUCCAAUAGAAAAAUUCUAGUAUUUUUAUAGUCAUUAUCUUUAAUCAUUUUUAAUUAGCUGCGUAAUAUUAUAAUUUAAAAACGAUGACACUAAUUACGUUAUUGUGUUUUAUUGUUGCUGAGUGAUGACUACUCUAAAAGAUGAAUGGGGCAAAAACACAGACAAAUAACAAUGAAAUGAAACCGUAACAUCUGCUGUUAUUUUAAUGCUUGGAUGAUUUUUGAAAUGAAAUAUUUAAUGACGCAUCACUGGCUGCGGAUCUGAGUGCUGUGUAUGAUGUGAGCGAUGUUUUCAUGUACGAUGCGAGUGCCCGCUCACCAGGAACUGUUAGGCUCUCAUUAAUAACACUAUACACAGCACUACAUUAUCUACUGUCAUCCCAAACUCAGUUAUCUUUCUAAACAAAAGGGAAAAAUAGUGGAGUUUGACAGAUCAUCUUUUAAUAAUACAUUUCAGUAUUGUCAGAAUUAAGAUGAGAUACAGUGUCAAUCACACACUUUCACAUGUAGUGUGUAGAAAAGUAAUACAUUUGGGACAGAGGCUAUAGGACAUGGCAUGAGUUUUUACUUCAUGCCUUCACUGGAAAGAAGUAUUUCUGUCCAAAAAGUCUUUCUUUUGUACUUUGUUUUAGUGUAUUUUAGUAAUUUUAGGAGAUUCCUAAUUCUACACAGUGUAGUAACAUUUAAAUACAACGAUGACUUACAAUGUAAGUCGUCAUCAAUAAUCCUUAAACAGAUUUGUAAAAGAAAAAUAAAUUCACAACCAUGACUGUAACCCAGGUUUCAUAAGUCCCUCAUCAUAAUCCUGAUUUACUUCUUUACAAUGUUUCAUUUUGUGAUUAUUAAUCAUCAUUUACAGAUCAAAUCCAAAGAGAAGAGUGGGCGAGGCCAGGUGGAUGACUCCAAAGAGCUAAGGCAAAGAGAUGGUCAAAGUGCUAAAGUACAGGGCAACAGAUUGGCACUAAAGAGCUAAGAGGGCAGGGAAAUACCAGACCAGAGUGGGCAAAGAAAGGUGGGUGCCUUAGAAAGAAAAAUGGAUGGGGCCAGGUGGAUGUCUCCAGAAAGAUUGGCUCCUGAAAGCUAAGAGGCUGCAUCCAGAGGGAUAAAGGUAGUAGUAGGUGGAUGCCUUCAUAGAACUAAGAGGGCAGGGCCAAGUAGAUGGCUGAAGACAGCCAAGAGGGUGUUGGGAAAGAUGGAUGUCUCGAGAGAGGACAUCUUCAGAAAACUAAAGUGGUGGGGUCAAGACUGCUCCAGAGGAGUACAAGGGAUAGAGCUAAUCAUAACCAAUGAAAACAACUCAUGAAGAACUGGGUAUGUUUAUAGAAUUAUGUUAGAACAGAUUUGCAAUAUAAGGUUUUAAAAUAUACCAAACCUGGAUAUUGUGAGUGUAUCAGUGUGUGCUGUGUGUGUGUUCAUGUGUUCAGCACAUGGAAAAAAAAGGAUUCUAUAACAUUAUUGCUCUGGAUUUCAGUGUAGCAUUUAAAUGAUAUACAUUUAUAAAUAUUAUGGUCACUGCAUGUUGUACACCUUGUUCAUUCUACGUCUCCUCUACUGCAGUCUGUACAGGAAAUACACACUAGCUUUUCCAAAGCAGCGUGUUAAACGUCAUUCCUUAAAUACAAUCCUGAAACAGAUAAUGAUUCAAAUGAAUAAAUAUGCAACUAAAAUCAAA
ensembl:lncRNA